rnacentral:misc_RNA from 1 species
GUGCCGCGUCUGCGCGACAUAGAAUAGAAAGAAUGAAGGGUCAGCUUGUGCUGCACUGUCUGCCGUUGUCUUUUCACCUUCGGCAAUAACGGACUCGCCUUUUCUGUUAUUGUGAGAAAGGAGUGCACUAUCACCCUUGUGUCACCAGGCGUGAAUAAUAUAUUUGAUUUCUUAAUUACGUUGUUUCUCUUGCGAAGCGAUAGCGAAGUAGAAUUUAUGCAAGAGAGCUGUGACAGAGGGAGGUGGUUCUUGUUAAAUAUACAUUUCUGACGUGUUCAUUUCUCUGCCAUACAACAUGUGCUCAGCUCCACACUACCCCGACCGAUCACAGGCCCCAUCCGCGCGGUUCGAAGCCGCCGAAGGCACGCAUCACAGCACUGCCGUUCCUCUCAUUUGAGCACGGCCUCUGCCCCACACCCUACCCACCCACCCGCUGGGCAGGGCGGCCUCACAGCCGCCCCCAGUGAGGCCGGUUGCCGCCUGGUGCAUCUCCCUCGAGGUGGCUGAGGCUCCCCCACCACCACCGGCAGGCAGCGAGGACCGGGUGGGCUGCGCUCGAGCUACGUGGGCACUCUGUCCAUCAUGUGAGUGGCGCAAGCGUGUUUCUUAUCGCAGCUCUCUCCGACGCAGCCCCAUCCAGGACCCGACCACCGACAUGAGUCGCGAUACAUCGCUCUGACCUCCCCACGUCGUAGGUGCUUGGCCCUGUCAGUACCAGAAGGGGUCAGGUGUUGGAAGAAAUAGGAUGGCUGCUUGGCUCCCCUACAGAGUGGGUGUACCGGGCCCUCGGAUACCACUCUCUCAGGUGUGCCCCCACCCCGUCGGAGACUAUAUAUAUAUAUGUAGGCAAUGGGAUGCUGUAAACAAAGAACUGCAAUGCAGCGACUCAGCGCUGUCUCACUGCUUCAUCUUUACACUCCUCCCUUUCCUUGGCAGUGAUGUAAGGGCCGCUUUUCUGUUAGCCCAAUCUUACCAAGCGUUCCCUGCGAGGUGCCUCCUUCUUUGGCUAGUUGUGCUUUUGGUGUUUCGUUGUGGCUUUUAGGCGACUCGCGAUGCAUGCCUGUUGGAAGGGAGGGGAGCUGCUGUUUCUCUGUGUUUUCGGAUCUCUCUAUCCUGAGCUGCUUCCCUUAGUUGCUAUGACCUACACUUAUUUUGUGAGUGCGAGGGUUUGAAGCUCUCGCAGUGUUGCUGUGGCCCUAUUUGUGCUCACGCCAUCAGUGCUGCGAUGCAUGUAGGGCUGGGUGCUGUUUCAUUGGGAGCUGUUAUGACCGCGGCAGCAUCAGCAGUAGCAGACGUUUCCUUUUUUUUGCUGGUUAUGCUCGCUCUCCUUCUCGCCUUGUGUCCAUCGUGCUCCCAUUUCAGGACGUGUGUUGCCGGCUUCGCGCGACCGUCUCCUGCUUUGUCAUUGGUUUUGGUGCCUUUUUGUGUGAAUGUGUGUACGACGUGGCCGUGGCUGGGGCGUACUGUAUUUCGUCUUUUUUUUUCGUAGGUCUUCUCUCUGUGCUGCCCUGUACCCCCCCCUCUUCAGCCCUUUCUCUUGCUCCAUUCAUGUUCUUUUCGCCAUCCCUGUCGCUGUACCCCUUCAUAUUAAUCGGCACGGCUAUCGAACAGCAACAUCACAAAACGGAAAAGGAAAGGGGAAUGCAAACACGCACGCUCGCCGCAUAAGAGGAAGACGCGGUCCGACGAAGAGGACGUGCCACGACCUUCUCACGCUCGAGCCCGCAAAGCAGUGCCAUGAGAUGCUUCACGUCGGGGGUGUACUACAAGCCUGCCCACAAUCGCUAUGCGGGUGGCGGGCUGUGGACGCAACCUGCGAGAACCCCAAGGAAGCAAACCAUGAAGCUCAUUUGCUAUGCGGAGCGUCCACCGUGUAGCUGAAUGCCCUUGAGCAUCUUUGCCGUGUGCUGGAUUCAGUCGCUAUAACUCUUACUCUCUCUCUCUCUGCGUUGGCCUUUGGCGUUCCUCCUCUGCUUUCGAUUUCUCCCUCGCUUUCGUCCCAUGUCCUCGUCUUUUUCGUUCUUGCCCUCCCUCUUCCCUUCUCCUCGUCCUCGUGGGGGGUUUUUGCCCCUCUUUGUGUGCGCUUCGUGGUGCCUCCUCCCCUUUCACCUAGGAGCUGCGCAACAACAAGUGCGCACAAGAAAC